GAUGAACGCUGGCGGCGUGCCUAAUACAUGCAAGUCGAGCGAACAGAUAAGGAGCUUGCUCCUUUGACGUUAGCGGCGGACGGGUGAGUAACACGUGGGUAACCUACCUAUAAGACUGGGAUAACUUCGGGAGACCGGAGCUAAUACCGGAUAAUAUGUCGAACCGCAUGGUUCUAUAGUGCAAGAUGGUUUUGCUGUCACUUAUAGAUGGACCCGCGCCGUAUUAGCUAGUUGGUAAGGUAACGGCUUACCAAGGCGACGAUACGUAGCCGACCUGAGAGGGUGAUCGGCCACACUGGAACUGAGACACGGUCCAGACUCCUACGGGAGGCAGCAGUAGGGAAUCUUCCGCAAUGGGCGAAAGCCUGACGGAGCAACGCCGCGUGAGUGAUGAAGGUCUUCGGAUCGUAAAACUCUGUUAUUAGGGAAGAACAUACGUGUAAGUAACUGUGCACGUCUUGACGGUACCUAAUCAGAAAGCCACGGCUAACUACGUG
rnacentral:rRNA from 1 species